AACGCACAUUGCGCCCUUUGGUAUUCCAAAGGGCAUGCCUGUUCGAGCGUCAUUUGUACCCUCAAGCUUUGCUUGGUGUUGGGCGUCUUGUCUCUAGCUUUGCUGGAGACUCGCCUUAAAGUAAUUGGCAGCCGGCCUACUGGUUUCGGAGCGCAGCACAAGUCGCACUCUCUAUCAGCAAAGGUCUAGCAUCCAUUAAGCCUUUUUUUCAACUUUUGACCUCGGAUCAGGUAGGGAUACCCGCUGAACUUAA
rnacentral:misc_RNA from 5 species